CCCUCACUGUUAAGGAGUGAAGACUUACACUGGACUUACACUGCACAUUUCAGACGUCCUCACCAGUGUCCCAGCUGUCUGUUCCUAUUCUACCUGAGGACGCUUCAAGCCUGACAUCUGAAAUCUUCUUACUGGCAGCACUGACAGACACUGGGAGGAUGGGGACGGCAGACAGAUCACUCAGUAGUCUUGCUGGAGAGGAAGUGGCGUGAGGUGUCUUCCAAGAAGGAAUUGAAGAGAUCUUCUCAGGCAUGGGAAGUGGGUAAUGGUUUGUCAUGGU